GAGGAGCAGCUAGUUCUCAGCCAAUAGUCUGCAGGGAUGCCUUGGUAUAACGAUCCUUUUCAAACUUUGUCCUCUUUACUUCUUUUUUCCCGGAAAGUCUCAGGUUAAGUUAUUGGGUUGCAUCUACCACUUCACCAAAGACAAUAUCCAUUCACCGGAGAUCGUGAAUUUCACCGAUGCCCUCUUGAAAAAUUACUGCCACGGCAACUCCGAGGUCAAUGGAUCUCUGAAUCAUCUAUGGACAAACUGUAAACGAAGGCAUAUUAAACAUCGUCGAUAUGGGAAACUCAGAGAAAUGUGGCACAGCUAUGCAAGAUACAUAUGAAAUACUGAAUUGGAAAUAAAUCUUUACUGAACCAUGUUUAAACAAGUUUAUAUUUUUUUACAAAGUUUAUUUUUAAUGAUAUUAAUUUAUUUUGUAUGAACAUUUAAACAUACAUGUAUGUCUUAAAAUCAUGUAACACAAUAAAUACUUUAAUUACCUGCUGUA